UGACCUCGGAUCAGGUAGAAGUUACCCGCUGAACUUAAGCAUAUAAAAAA
rnacentral:rRNA from 1 species